AACGUAGGAGGCGAACGUUAUCCGGAUUUACUGGGCGUAAAGCGCAUGCAGGCGGUUUCUUAAGUCGGACGUGAAAGCUCCUGGCUCAACUGGGAGAGGUCGUUCGAAACUGAGAAACUUGAGGAUGGUAGAGGAGAGUGGAAUUCCCGGUGUAGUGGUGAAAUGCGUAGAUAUCGGGAGGAACACCAGUGGCGAAGGCGGCUCUCUGGGCCAUUCCUGACGCUAAGAUGCGAAAGCUAGGGGAGAGAAC
rnacentral:rRNA from 1 species